rnacentral:rRNA from 1 species
CUUGAACGCUGGCGGCAGGACUAACCCAUGCAAGUCUAGCGCGCGUCGGACGGGUGAGUAAUGUCUGGGAAACUGCCUGAUGGAGGGGGAUAACUACUGUAAACGGUAGCUAAUCCCGCAUACCAUCAGAUGUGCCCAGAUGGGGUUGGCUAGUAGGUGGGGUAACGGCUCACCUAGGCGACGCUCCCUAGCGGGUCUGAGAGGAUGACCAGCCAGACUGGAACUGAGACAAGGUCCAGACUCCUACGGGAGGCAGCAGUGGGGAAUAUUGAACAAUGGGCGCAAGCCUGAUGCAGCCAUGCCGCGUGUGUGAAGAAGGCCUUCGGGUUGUAAAGCACUUUCAGCGGGGAGGCGUUACCCGCAGAAGAAGCACCGGCUAACUCCGUGCCAGCAGCCGCGGUAAUUC